CUCAAACUCCUCAGGAAGUGACCCCAACAGCAUCAAAGCCAAAUCUUCAUCUUUGAAUGUCUCAUCCAUAUUCAGCAAAUCAGUGACUAACUGAUUAAAUUUGGUGAUGUGAUCAUUCAUUGUGGUACUUGGGACGUAUGUGAAGCGAAACAGUCUUUUCUUCAAGUGGAGCUUAUUUUGACUGUUUUUCUUCAAAAAUUUUUCUUCAAGUGCCACCCACAACUUAUUUGCAGAAGUCUCCUUUGAAAAAGCAUACCUCUACUCUCGAGAAAGGCAUGAUCGAAUUGUGCCACAUGCCAACCGAUUGAUCGCCUUCCAAUCUUUCUCCUGUACAUCAUCUGGUUUCUCUUCAUCAAUGGCAAUGUCUAGACCCUGCUGAAAAAGGGCAUCUAGAACCUCACUUUGCCACAUACCAAAAUGGCCCGUGCCAUCAAAGAUCUCCACGGCCAAUCUUGCAUUUGCAAUUGUCGGUCUUGUCCACAUGGACGAUGUUGAAGCUCCUACACCGACCGUUUUCUCCAUAAUCUUUCAAUAUACCUAAGGAAAUUUUUUCUGAUGUGGAAGAUCAGUUUAAACUGCAACCACAGAGCAUACUACGAUUAACCUUCGGCUCUUGAUACCACUUGUUGUUCCAAUAGGGUCGGAAGCGUGUAAAUUAUUGUACUAAAAAAUCACACAAAGUUCAAUUCCCAGGGAAGAGAGGUGGAUCACAUGGAUCUCUUAAAUACCAAGUCUUUCCUUAGACAGAAUAUCCCUUCUAUAGUAAUUUAAUAGCACAAUUAAAUACUACUAUUAUACCCUCAAAUAUUGAAAGAAAAAUAGGACAAGAAAGAACACAAGAGUUUUAACGAGGUUCGGUAAAUUAUACCUACGUCCUCGGGCACUAAUACCAGAUGAUAACUUCACUAUCUCUAAAAUAUUACAAACAAAUAGAAUUCCUUAAGAAUUCUCAAAUGGGAGAAGAGAGAAAACUAAGAGAGAAAGAUUGGUUGGGAUGGUUGAAAUGAAAAAUAAAAAGGCCUAUUUAUAGUUGAAGUUCAGGGACUAACUUGUAAAUGGCCUAAAAAAUUAGGGACCAAAAUUGCAAUUAUCCCAUUCAACUUUUCAACAUUCGGUGCAACUUGCUCAACAUUUUUAACAAGUUGCUUCCUACCUUUGUUGACCUUUCAACAUAAAUAUACUACUACUUCUUAUUGGAUGUGUCGAACCAUACAUGCCCCUCUUAAUUAGCAUAGAACUUAUGUCAGAUAAUGUAGGGGUGUCCACAGGGACUGACGUCCGGCCACCACCACCACCACUCAGCAGAAGCUGCAAUUAAAGACCUCUAAAUUGAUUAUUGUACGACGGUCAGGUCAGUCCUUGGCCUCUCCGUGGGUUUUCUACAUACCCAAGCUCUAUAAUCUUGAGCUUGAUUUUUUUUUCUUUUCCGUUUGGUGCAGAGGGCACUGAAUUUCUUUCCCAUAAAAACCUCCUUUUGGAAGUACAAAGUACAAACAUAAAUUUCCUGCUUUGACGCUUACAUUAUUAUCAUGUUUAUCUGUGUAAGUACAUGCAUUACUAGCAUUACCUAUUUAAAUCUUAAUUUGGUUGAUUGGUAUCAUGCUUAAAAUCUUUUAAUUUAAGGUUGGGAAAAGUCUAUUAUCAAUACCUAAAAAGUUAAAAUGAGUUAAAUUUUGAUAUAAGUUUGGAUCCAUUAAUAAAUUCUUUAAAAAAUUAUAUCAGUGGGGGUUUACUACUUCUAUACCCCAUCCCCAUCCCCCAUCUUCAACAUCAAUUCAUUAACCAGAACAUCUGAGAUGAGAAAGUAUUGCUUUAUCACCUAUCAUGUUCACGCUUUCUUUUUUUGUUUUUUAAUUUCCAAUGAGUAUGUUGAAAUGCUGUCGUUUUCAAAAUUUUGCAUGCAGGAGUAAUAUAAGUUUGGGAUCAAAUUAGAAAUGGGUCCAACUUAGGUUUUGUACUAAUCCAACCGUAACAUCACAUGUCAUGUCUUGCUAUGACUAGGACAAACCCACAUUUCAAAACACUGGACAAUGCAAUAUACCCACUUUUAUUUGUUUAUAUCCAUGCCAUUUUCCAACACAGAAACGAAAAGCCAAAGUAACACAAAAUACAACCAUGAAAAUUAUAGUAACAAUUACAAACAUUGUUUUGCUGCUAGCAAAAAAAAUGCAAUUGCAAAACAUAACCUGCAUGAACUUACACAAUAUUGAUUGAAUAUAAGAUGCAAAUACUCUCAAAUUUUAAACUUUUCUUUUUUACAUUAAAAGGACUAUAUUUCCAUAUAUCCAUAAGGAAUAAUGGCAUAGGGUUCUUCCUUUUGCUCUGCUCUACACAGGCCAACAAGAGCUUUGACAUGUCUAUCAAAUAUAAGGUACUAUAUGUUAUAAAGGCUUCCAAUAGUACAGAAAUAGAUUCUUCUUCUUCAUUGUUCAUCCAUAUCAAGAAGGAGAUGUCCAAAGCUCUGCAUUUUUAACCUUUGAGACACUCUCAAGCACUUCAAAAGGGAUUAUAUCACCAAUAACAACUACCCUUUUGUUUUCCAGGUCUACUUUGUAUGAGGUCACUCCUGUUUUUUUAUGGUACAGCCAGGAAUUACAUUACAGUAAUGAUAAUAAAUAAUAACAAAACAAAACCAAAAGGAAUCUAAUUAGCUCUCUCCCAGCUAAACAUACUUAAAAUUGAUGGAAAAAAGAUUAAAAAGGGUCGAUGAAUACGGCUAUCAUGCUUUUGAAUAUUUAGUGAAAAUGGAGAUAUCAGAAGAGAUUGCUUACCAUCCAUCUUUGAAAUGUGUUUUUCAACUUUUCUUGCACAGCCAUGGCAAUGCAUGGAUACCCUUAGUACCACCAUCUACAAGGUCAAAUCGAUCAAAGUAGCUCGUUAGCUAUUCAAGCUUUUCAUUCACUAUAUGUUCUUUCAGAAAAUAAAGCAAACAUUUAGAUAUAUAUAUAUAUGCACAUUACCUUAGGCUUAAGCUGAAAGGCCAAGGUCUGAUUGCCAGCCACAACAUCUUUCAAUCUCAACAACUGGGUUUUUUCAGAUGUUACCAAUGGGGUUUUUUCAAACUCAUCAUCAUCCAAUGUGUUCAUACAGAAACAAGAACAAGAGCCUGAAGACAAAUAUAAACAAUCCAACAUCUUGCUAAAACUAAGUUUCCCCAUUGCUCCCAGAUGUUCUAACACAACAAAGACACUCACUUAGGGAACUUAAACAUGGUUAUACAUAAGCAAAAUGUCUAUCUUAUAGGAACAAAAUCAAUCAAAAGAAACUAUGUUCACAAUCCCCAACACUAUAUAAUAUAUAUGUGAGAGAGACAGAGAAGGAAGCUAAAGGUCAAAUUUUUCUUGGGAAAAACAAAAGCUAGACAGAACCUAAUGAAGCUAUUGAAGAAGAAAAGAACCUUCAAGUGCCAAUUUUUUUGUUUAGUUAUAGCACUAGUCAAAAAGGUUCUCAAAAAGGGUACUCUUUAUCUUUAAUCACCACAAGCAGCAUUUGUCAUGUGGUGGUGAGCUACUAAUAAAGACAGCAAUAAACAUACACCUUAAAAAAAUUUACAUACACUACACCAUAAAGAUUGAGUGGGAUGAAAAGAAAAGGGAAUGUUCAUGUGAGAUUUGCAGUUGGUUUUUGAAACUGAGAGUUGGUUUCACUCUUUCAUUUGAACUAUUGCUUUUUUAUCAUGAAAGAAACUUUAAAAACACACUGAAAGAAGAUAUAUAGUUUCACAUGAUAUAAAAAAAGGAUAGAGAAAAGCUAUAUAAAACAUGGGUCAUAGUCACCAGCUCAAGAAAAUUGCUAAGAACAAUCUAAACCAGGCAUGGCAUGUGGAUGGUAGCUAAGAAAUAUAUAUACAAGAAGAAAAUUUUAUAACCAAAAGAUUGGAUAAUAUAAGCAACUUUAGUAUAAUGUACAUAAGUACAUUUGCUAGAUGAUCAUGACACAUUACCUUAAGCAUUAUUUGAAGAAUAGGCUAGAUAUCUAAUCAAGUUUUUCUAUUCAUUACUUCAUAUUACUUCACUACCUUUCUUAUACAUGUAGAGAGAGAGAGAGAAAGAGAGAGAGAUUAAGGGUGAGAUUGAUUAGAUUAAACCAUUAAACAAGUUUAAUUAAUUCCAUCAAAGUACUGUUCAUGUUGAAGAUAUAACAUGAGAUGGGAUAGAUGUAAUAAUUCAAAAGCAGUGAAUGAGUUUGAAGUUGUUGGCAAGCUUGUCUUGAUCUUCAUUCUUUCAAUAUUAAUAUAGAGAAGAUGGGAACAAGUGGCAUUGAAUUAUUGCUGCCCCCCUGAGCUCAGAAGAGAAUAGAAUUAUUGGAUGAUUGAAUAUUUCAAUAGAUAUUUUAAAUUUUCUACAAGAUUAAUGGGACGCUUCUCUAACAGGUUGGUCCAUGUGAUGAUGACUCCUUUUAGUGGGAGGAAAGGGAUGAAUUAUUUAAAAAAUAUUAUAUAAAAUAAAAAAGUAUUUGAGUGGUGAAGUCAUACUCAUGUUUGUUAGUCUCACAUGACCUUUGGGCAUGCAAUAAACCAAAGCUGGAUUUACCAAAUUUUCAUGUGGAGGCAUUCAACAAGAGGCAACCAGCAAAUUGGAGUAAUCCAUUUCCUUGGCUAAUAGCCGAAGCUAAAGGGCAAGAAUCGCCUCUUGGUUCUUUUGUGCCAAACAUUCCUAUUUGAUAAUUGUUAUAUUUCCUUUAUGCUCUAAUAACAACAUUCUUAUUUUAUAACUCUUAAUUCGUAUGUUCGAAGUUUGUGACUAUCAAUAACAAAAUUUAAAAAUCUAUUUUAGGAGUAGAGAUGAAUCAUAAAUUUUUGAAAGUCAAAGUGUAAAUUUUAUCAUUUUUAUGGAGCUAAGGACACUACCUAUCUCCUUCUACACCCCUAGUGAUUAUUUUUCUUAACAAUAUCGUUUUUAAAAUUCGAAUUAAUUUUACCUUUUUAAAAAUACAAAAUAUUUUAAAGACAGUUUCUACCAGCUAAACUUAUACAAAGCAUUAACUUGUUUCAAUGUCAUCAUAGAAAUUAGCAAUAUUACCUAAUAAUAAUAAAAAGGUGAGAUAUUAUAGUUUGUAUGUGGGAUGAAGGGGACAUAAACAUAAUAUAAGGUUUAAGAAGAAGCAUGGGCGCAUGGCUCACAACAGUUCACUGCCUUCAAAACCGAAAAGAAUAAUAACAUUGAAUAUGUAGAAACCUUGAAAUAUAAUAAUUAAUAAGGCUAAUAUAUACAUAAAGGGUUACCUAAUUCCAUGUGAUUAAAUAGUUCCGUUGCCCAUUCUCUACAACUGUCCAUAUUAUGGACGGUCAUGCAUGUUUAAAAACAAUUAAAUCAAUAAUAAUUUAGUAAUACUUGAUUGAGACACCUAUAUGAAACAUUAUCCAACUUGCCGGUUGAUAAGUUUUCAAGAUUCGAAGGUGUGCAUCAAAAACUUACUUCCAUUUUUAAGAGUUGAUUAAAAGGCAGUAGGACCACCGACAGUAAGCAGCAGAAGUUAAUUCUCUCUCUCUCUCUCUCUCUAUAUAUAUAUAAUUAUCACAUGGUUGACAUUCAUUAUUAAAUAUUACCCACUUGAUAGAUUCGUUGCCACCCAUAAUUGUAAACUUGUUUCAUUGGUUAUACAUGUAUGCUUAAUAUGAAUGAUGCCUGUUAUAUACAUUUUGUUAUGUUUUACAAUGUUCGUAUAGCACGUACCACACAGUAUCUAAUGUCAUACUACGGUCCUUAUUUGCUCAAGAAUACACACCUAUAUUUAUAGAGAAAACUAUCUCAUCAUGUUACUUGUUUUUCCUAUAAACUUUUUACAAAAAAUAAGUUGAAGAAUCUGCUAAAAGCCAGGAGAUAAUUUCUAUUACUUUAAAAAAAGAAAAAAAAAACAGGCUGAAAAAAAAAGGGCUACAUGACUACUUUACAAGCCCAUUAUACAAAAAGAUGGGUGACACUAAAAUAAGAGGUCCAGAAAUGAAUUUCUGAAUUAUUAUAUUAUUAUAAAUUGUAUUAUGAUAACAGUAUAUAGGUAAAAGUAUGAUAGAAAAUUUUUUAUUAAAAUUUAGAUUGUAUUUUAUUUUUAUUUAUUUAAAAAAUAUGUAAAUUAAUUUUUAUACAUCAAAUCAAAAAGUAAAUUAAUCAUUCUAAUAAAUAUUCAAUUCAUUUUUAUUGCUAAAUGAUGGCAUAUUACUGUUUGAUUGCUUGAAUUAGUCUCUCCAUGUCAAAAGUUCCAUCCAUUUCACUUUUUAUUAAAGAUUUCAUCCAUUUAUUUUGUUAAAACUUCCAUUUAUUUUGUUUGAAUUACCUCCAUGUUAGCAUAAGGUACAAAACACACCAAGUGUCAGUACCUUAUUGCUUUAUCAACCACGUUAGCACUUAACAGUAAAAUUGAUAGGAUUUUUAACAAAAUAAUCAGUUUGCUCUUUAUCUAAUGUACAAUAAUUAAAUUGCUCAUUUUUUAGUAAAUAGAGCAAAAUACAAUCUGACUCCUAGUUCAAGAGUUUUUAUGAUAAUUUUAUCUAUAUAAUAUUUAAAGGGAUAUGUUAGUUUUAAUUUAAAUUAUUUCUAUUUUUACUAAUAUUAAUUUGAUUCUAGUUUGUACGUUUAAAAAAACCUUUGACAGUUGAAUUGUAGGGGGGAAUUUGUUUUUUGUUGUUGCAUAGUAAAAUGGAAGGAAAACUCAAAAUGAAUGAAGAUUGUAAGAUAAACUGCAACUUGCCAACUUGUUUGACAGAUAAUAUACUUUCCAUACACUAGAAUGUUAUUGUGAGCUGUGCCUCGACAUUACAAUCUCUUCAUAGGUUACUUUUUAACUUAAUCAUUGGAGUAGGAUCUAACUGUCAAAGAAAGCUGCUGAGUGAAAACUUUGUAAUGGAGGCUUAAUUAAUAUACACCGUCAACCUGCAUUUGUUGAACCGUCAGCGUAACCAAUUCUCUCAACACUGGGCAUUGGGCAAAGGCCAUCUUAUUUCCUUAUGCGAUUUCAUCAUCGUCGUUGCUUGUUUACCUCCUCCGGUUCGCUCUCCUGCUCUGUUUUCACUUCUCCGGAGUUUUGUCAUUUUCAGAACCAAAGCCAAAAAUCUUCUAGAUUCAUUCCUCCAAAAUGUUGUUGAAUCUAACCAUUUUCUUUUCCAACCGUAGUAAAGAAUGAAAAUCAAGUGAAAAGUUUAGGGGUUUUCAUAAAUUAAAAGAUAGUAUGGUAUAUCGGGGAGCCGCUAAGAUCGGCUUCAACAAAGGAUUACAUACAAUCUGGGCAUACAAAAGCAACAAUACAAUCAUCAAUAUCAAAAUCACAACUAUUACUAAUAUUGCUGUCCAUUUUUGCUAACGCCUUAAUAUUUCUUGGAAUAUAAGACAAAUCCGAAUGGAAGCUUCUCAAUAUAGUCUUGCGGUCAAGCAGCAAAUUUUUCACAGUACAAAUUCUUCAUGAAAUAAACAACAGAAGAAGCAUCAAGCUCAACAAAAAGCCGGGAAAUAUUAAGCUAUUUUUCAAGGGAUAAACCACCUUUAAACCCAAAGUUUUUUGUCGUGUGACCAAUAGGAACCAACAAUCGAACUCCAUUAUCAGAGUGAAUUCAAGAAACUUUUUGGUGCUUAUAAUGAUUUAUAAUUUCAUUAUUUUUAGUGAGGGAUUAAAAGUGAAUUUUCCAUUUUGAGGGAGUCAAGUCCUUUACUUGUUCCCUUAAAAUUAUGAUAUCGAAUAAUGAUUUUGAUAUCAGCUUCAGGAGAAACCGCUCAAGGGAUAACAUGCUCUACGUGAAAGGGAUUAUCAAAGAUAAUAGAAUUAGGGGCAAGCGGAUAUUUCCAAGGAAGAAGGCAAAGAUGAUGAACCAAGUAUACGAUAAUCAGUAAAACUGAGCUUGGGAAAAGAUUAAUCUUGAGCUAUUCGUUGAAGGGAAGAUAAAAAUUAAGAAUUGAUAAUAUUCUCCACAGGUCCUUUAUUUUAAGUUUUUUCUGUUACAAAUACAAUGUAUACUAAUACAACUAUACACAACAAUAUAAUUACAUAUAUAAAUAUAAAUUCAAGUAAUUACAAAAUAAAAUUUUACCAAUAUAAAAUAUAAUUUACUACAGAUUAAGUCUUAGCUCGAUUGUUAUGGGUAUUAUUGUUAAUGCAAGACGACUAAGUUUGAGUGCACUAAAACGCAUUAUUUUCUAAUUUAUAAGUUGAGAGAGACUAUACUUAACUCUAGGCAUUGUGUAAAAAAAUCUAAAUUACAAUAAAAAAAUUAAUUGAAAUAUAUCCGAAUUUAGUUAAAUUUGCAAGAAACCAAUUUUGAUUUUUAAGCAUCAAAUAUGAUAAAGUGAAAGUUCUACCUUUGUAACUUAUCAGUUUUAUUAAUAAUUAAAAAUAAUCUUUGAAUUUUAAUUAACUUAAUUUUUAAAUUUAAAAAACAUGAGUAUUCUUCUAUUUAAUGUGUUCGGUGGACAAUAAAAUGAUUUUUUUUUUUUAAAAAGGAAAAUCAUAACUCCAUUAUUUAUUAGGGGAGUGGCAGUUAAGUAAAUAAACUUAUUAACGGUCAAAAAGUAGACUAAAACCGUCAAGGAAAAGGGCAACUGCACGGGGACAAAACCUUUUCUCUCUCCUCUCUUUGUCCGAAAACAGGGUGAAAAAGUUUCUCUCUCUUCGUAUUUAAAGAAAAAUAAAAUAAAAUAAAAAAGCUGGGUUCUUGCUCUUAGUUCUUCUGAGCUGUACCAAAGCUUCUCUCUGUAGUUAUCAACACUCGACCUGCAAUUUUCUCUCUUGAUUCUAUAUAUUUAUCUUUUUUUUAUUUCCCUAUCACUUAUGUAACGAUUUUGUUGGCGUUGGAUCGAAUUUAAUUGAUUAAAAAAAGGCCUCUCGACGAAAGUUUCAAACAAAGUUUUCCUUUUCUUUUUCUUUUUCUCGGUCAACUUUUCUAAGGUUCCAAAGACGUCCGUAUUUUAUCUAUUUGCUCUGUUUCAUGGUACAGACCUUUGCCUUUGGUUAGUUGAAUUUUGUACGUUGUAAUUUUUUCUUUUCCAAUCUGUUUGAUUAGCAGGAAAAAUGUUGGCUUCGUAAGGAAGAAUAAGGAGUUUUGAUUGUUUAAUUUUGCUUGGCAGGGUAAGAAUGUUAACUUAAGAAAGUUUUGUUUUCGGUCGACUCUUUUUUUCUUUUUAAUUUCUAGUUCAUUCAUUGCUUUUGUUUUUAAAUGUAGAAAGGGUGUGAUGGCGGGUCGAGUGAAGGAAGACGAGAAAAAUGAGCGAAUUAUUCGGGGUCUUCUCAAACAACCUGAGAAUCGUAGAUGUAUUAAUUGCAACAGUUUGGUAUGUUUUUCUCUUCUUUUUAUUGAUUUUUAUUUUUUAUGUUUUGAUUCCAUGAUUGUAGUUAGAGAAGCUUGCUUUGAACGGUGGAUUAUUGUGUUGUUAUAUGCGAAUUGUUCAUCAAGUAUCUGGUUUUGGGAUUUACUUUUUGAUACACUUGCUUUUAUAGCUUUGAAUUGAUUACAAGUUUGCGACAAUGAUGUUGAUGAGUAUAUCAUUGAUACUUAUGUAUAUAUAUCUUACUACAUGGAAAAAUAAACCAUGAAUUUUGUGGAAAGAAAAGGAGAUGGAAUAACAGAAGUAGGUUCUGCUUAGAGUAGUACUUAUGAGUUGUGAUUAGUGAAAGCCUGCUUAAAGUUUCUAUAAUUUUUAGAAUUUUCACUCUUAAAACUUUUGGGAAGUUUUGGUUGUUCCAUAAACUAUUUGUUUGAAUAUCCUCCUAAAAUGUUUCUUCUGGAAAUUUCUCAGUUGAAAUAUAUUUUUUGCAACACCUUUCUUGUGCUAAAUUGAGUGUAAUGUCCUUUAAUGUGUAAAUUAUGGAGUGCAUAUACUUUCUCUGUUUGUCACUACUAACUUGUUGGCUGAGCAGGGGCCUCAAUAUGUCUGCACAAAUUUCUGGACAUUUAUUUGCACCACCUGUAGUGGAAUACAGUAAGUGUUCACAUUUUCUCACAUUAAGUUCUCUUCAGAUAUUGGCUGCUCAUUUGUUUAUAUCUGAGAUUUUAUUGCCUUUGAAGCCAUAGUCAUUAGGUUUACUAAAAGUGGCUCCUGGUUUUAAUUUUUUGUAGCCGGGAGUUCACACACAGAGUUAAAUCAGUAUCCAUGGCUAAAUUUACUUCUCAAGAAGUUAGUGCUCUUCAGGAAGGGGGAAAUCAGGUAGACAUAAGCGUUCUCUUGCUACCCCUUCCCCUGAUAAAGUAAAAAAGAAAAUAUUUAUUUCAUGUGUGAUGUUCUAGUUUCACUCUUUUCUUGUUCCUUUUGCAUACUUGCAGCAUGCGAAAGAAAUUUAUUUGAAGGAGUGGGAUCCGCAGCAUAAUUCACCUCCCAAGAGCAGGUCAUCUUUCAAAUAUCUAAUCUUUUGAUGUCCUGUGCCUUCAUUAGUUACAAUGUUUCUGAGUCAAAAUUUUGUAACCAGCAAUGUUGAGAGGCUUCGGGACUUCAUUAAGCAUGUCUAUGUGGAUGGAAGGUAUAGUGGUGGGAGAAGCAAUGACAAGCCUCCACGAGGAAAGACGGUAAAAUGCCCUUCCAUAUUCUUAUUUUCCAUUGAAUGUGAAUCAAUUAUAAAGUUGUGAGAUGGGAUACGAUAGAUUAUGAAAUUAUACGGUAUGUUCUGUUUCCUGGGGAGGGAACUUUUAGAUAAUCUGAUAUUAUUGAAUCUGCAACAGAAGUGUUGUAUCAUGAUUUUCUGAAUUUGUGCAUUAUCCAGGGUGACAAGGAAGACUUUUUUGAGAAUAAGAGGACAGAUGGAUAUCAGGGAGGGUCCAGAAGUCCACAAUAUGAAGAUACACACGAACGCCGGUACAGUGAAAGGUCCAGUCCGGGGGGAACAAGUGAUGACAGAAAUUCCAGAUAUGGUUAUGAUGAAAGGCAAAGUCCUGGAUACAAUCCAGAGAAUCGAAAAUGUGCUGAAUAUGUAAGAAGUCCUUCUCGUCCUGAGAUUGUGAAUGACUGGCGUCGAGAAGACAGAUUUGGUAAUGGGGGGAAAUUUGAAGAUCGUAAAAUAUCUAAUGGAGAUCCAAAGUUGGAAGGGAGGUCACCUGAGCGACAAAAAGAUUUAGAGUCAUCCAGUCCCCCAGUAGUACGUCCCAUGAGAGAAAUUUUGGGUGAGAAUGUAAUACCCCUUCGUAUAAAUGACCCUCUGAACACAAAUGGCGGAAGAACCGGUGAUGGCCCUCAGGCACAGGUAGUUUUUGCUAUGUGCUAUGUAACUAAGUUUAACAUUAUGGUUGGGGUUUUGUUUUGGUUUAAAUCUUUUCUUUGUUUUUUCUGCUGUUCAGAUCCUGCAAAAAGAUGGCUUUUCAUCUUCUCUCUCAGAAGUAAUUUGUUUAUGUCUUAGCAUGAUGCCUUUGAAUACAUUGCAAAACCCUAUAUUUUUGGCUGGAUUUCUUUUACCACAAUUAACCACUUCGCACCCUUUUUCGUCUUAACUUCACUUUUUCUUCUUUCUUUCUAUAGUUGUAGGAGUAUUUGUCCAACUUUUUGUGGACUUGACUUUUUCCUGUUGGAAUUCUAUCUAUACUAUCUAAUUUUCAUUAGUUGAAACCUUUCAUUAUAACCAAUAGGUAGCCUAUGUUGAAAAUGACUAUUCUAGACUUAGUGAUUGAUAAUGACAAACUUCUGAGUUAUGGUCAAUUUGGUUAUGAUACCGUGGCAGUUUGCUCGUGUGAAUUAAUGUACCAUUUAAGUGGAAUAUAGGUAUAACUUGGGUGUCAAUUGUUACCAACAUAAAUAAACUUCGUUGCUGUUAAAGAAUCAUCCAUCUAGGGCUUUGCAGGACCAUUUGUUAAAAUUAUUUCCUUUCCUCUUCAUUGCAUGAGAAAAGAUGUUUUCUGUCUUUCUUUUUAUUUUCAACUUUUAUGCGGGUAAAGAAAUAGGAACUGGACUUGCUGUAGUUUUCUUUUUUUUUUUCUUUCUUUAGCAGAGAACUGCAUCUUCUAGCCGCUUGGGGUCUACCAGCGGGAACCCAGCAGAAGUCAAGUUGGAAACGACUGGGAGCUUAAUCAACUUUGAUGCUGAUCCUGAACCUCCAGUAGCUUCUGCAGUUCCUCAGACUCAACAGACAACCAUGACUCAAUCCAUUGUGCAGCCAGCUAGAUUUACCAAUGAAAAUAAUUGGGCCUCUUUUGAUUUUGCCCCUCAGACAAAUGUUUCUCAGGCUCCUCCAAGUGUGAACACCAUGGAAUCUGUUCUUUCUCAGUUGUCAGUUCCAACAUCUGUACCUGGUCACCUAUCAGGACCAUCUAGCGGUGUUGGUGAUCAGGUAGCUGCUCCUGUGGGCAAUGUGAAUGUAGCACCUCUUGGUGGUAAUUCCAAUGUGGCCUUCACAGGGCAGAUCAACGCAUUACCCUUUGGUACUACUGCUCCUGCAACUGCACUAGUUAGCAAUUUCUCAACUGUGCCUCCUACAGGUGCUUUUACAGCUACCCCUGGAUUAACACCAACAAUGCCCGUCAGCAGUGGUUCCCAGGAUGGUGUUAAUAACGCUGGACAAUGGCCUAAUAUGCAGCAGCAACAGACUUCUUUUUUCUCUGCAGCUGACAGUCUAUCUACUACACAUCAGUUUGUGCCACUUGGUGCUGGAGCUACAGCCAAUCAGGUGGGAAGUAUUUUCUAUUUAUUUAUUUAGUUAUAGAUUAAUAAUUUAUAAUUGACAAUUUGUUCACCAAAUUCAAUAAUUCCAUGUUGUGCCUUUCUGGCAGCCAUGGAAUUUAGCUGUUUCCCAGCAUACGCAGGGACCUUUGAGUGCACCUGCUGUUGCGCAAACACCUCAAGUUGCCUCAAAAGUUGUCCCGGAUGUCACUUCCACUGUUGUAUCACAGCCUCCUUCGGAAGCAAAAGCAAGUGGAAGACAAGAAUUACCCGCGGUAAUUUCUCUAUUAAAGACCAAGGACACUGUAGUUUUGAUGUGGGGAUUACUUAUAGUGUUGGCUUCUUGAUCUUCGCAGGAUCUAUUUACUGCAACCUAUCCUUCCUACCCUGCAGCUGCACAAGGAUGGCAAACUGGCCCACCACGUGGGAUGGGGUUCACAAUGCAAUAUAAUACUGCAGUGGUACUGUUAUAUUUCGUUCUUUUGUACUUAACUGCAUGUCUAGUUAUUUGAUUAAUCGCUUAUAGUUCUGCAUGUACUUAGUUUCAGCCAAUGACUGCUUUUCCACAGUCAUCAAGGUCAGUAAACCCAUUUGAUCUUGGUGGCGAAGGACCUCCUGUUCAAACUCAAACAGUAUGUGACUCACUUCUUUUAAACCAUCUCAUUGUUGUGGCACUGACUGAGUUGGUCCUAUUGGGUUUGAGAAAUCUGUAGUAACUUCAUGAUAAGAGUUUAUAAUGCUGGCAUGCUGUUUGUUUGAGAUAUAAUUUUAAAUUUCUAAAUUUUGAUUGAGGUAGAGAGAAAAAAAUGAAAGGGGGGGGGGGGGUUAUUGUUUCUAUGAGUUUGCAUAUUUAUUGUUUUUCGCUAUCUUUUUUUAGUUCGUGUUGGUUGUGGUGCAGUUCCCUUCAAUGGCAUCCUUACAGGGUGCUCUACCAAUUAUGCCACGUCCUGGUCUAGUGCACACUUCUAACCUCAGUCCUCCAUCGUCAGCAUGGAUGCCACCUCAGUCUUUACCCUAUGCAUCACGGCCACCUUACCCAGGAGCACAAUUACCUAGCAACUUGCCACCUUCCAGGUAUACCAUUUCUCAGUUAUUGGAUCUUUGGUUACUGGCAAUGUCUUCAAGUUAUAUUCACUGCUUUGUAUCUGCAGCCAUCAAAAUGGGGGCAUUGGCAAUGAGGCAUCGUUUGGUUUUGUAAAUACCGAUCAACAGAUGGGUGGUAGAUUCUCAGCAGCACCUACCCAACAGCCUUUCCCUUCUGUUGGUUGGGGCAACCCGUUCGGCCGAAUCUAACGAGCAAUGCCAUCCUGGACCCCAAGUCUGGUUGAGCCCAGCAUCUUCUUGUUGCAAUAUAUACUACCUAUUAAACUGUUGGGUGUAAAGUUUUGGGCUUUAUUUCCAAUGAUCCAAAAGUUCCCUUUAACAGAUUUAGUUUUUGAUGCUCACACACAGAAAGAAAAAGAAACCUAGCUAGUGACCGAUCCGAUUGUUUUUUUAGGGUCUUUUUCUUUUGGGUGCAGAUACGAUGUCGUUUUGCAGUUUUCGUCGAGUGAUCUGUGUUUUGCGUGCCUACAAAUUGCGACAUUUUUCUCCUUUUGCUUUUUUUUAUCCCUUCUCCUCAUUAGUGUUUGUAUGAUGUUGCAGUAUCUGAAUGAGCCUGGUUAACCAUUGUCAAAUUUUGUAACUUUUGCAAUGUAAUAUAUUAGUUAAUAUUGAGAUUAUUUUGAGAAAUUUGUCUUUUCAAGGAGGGAAAAAAAUUACUUUGUGAUAUUACUGUGGUCAAUCCUAAUUCAUUUUAGAUUACCGUAAAUCAAAUAUAAAUUUAUUAAAUUACUAUAUAUACGCUUUUAAAAUAUAUAAUAUCUUUUUUGAGUUAAAAAAGUGAUAAAGCUCAAAAUUGUAGAUAAAAAAAUUUGAUACAUCGAUUUUAAUGUGGUGAAAUUAUAUACAUGAAAUUUUAAUUUUGAUUCAAUUAUACAUUUUAAUAAACAUAUCAUUUUAUAUUUUUACAUUGAAAAAUAUAAUUAUUUAUAUAUGUAAUAUUUAAACCUAAAAAGAUAUUACAUCAAUAAUAACAUUACAAAUUAGAUAAAAAAAUUAUAUACAAAAUUACAUGAUCAAAUUUUAUGUGUACUUUUGAAAUUUCUCUUAAAAAAACGAUGUGCCACAUCACCAAUCAAUUUGUUAUAUGUUAUCAAUGAUGUGGUGCAUUUUGAUUGAUCAAAUUUUUUGUAGCGAUGUUAGUUUUUAGGAACAAAAAUGAGUAAUAAUGUAAAGUUUAACUAAAUUGCAAAAAUAAUAAUUUGAGGGACUAAUAUAUGAAAUAAACAAAAUAUGUGGACUUGUGUGAAUAUGGGUAAGAUUCGGCCUAACAUAAGUGUGUGUAAAUUUUGCAUAUUUUGUGUUUUGUGCAAUAGGGACUAAAUUGUAACAACUGUAAAAUGUCAGGGGUAAAAUGGUAAUUAUCCCAUUUAUGUGUUUUUGGACUAAAUUGAAUGAAAAUAUGUUUGAAUGAGUUUAAUUUGUAUUGAAUUAGAUCAAGAAAUGUAGAAAUCAAAUUUGGAUCGAGGGAAAACCAAAGUUGUCGACUAGUUGUCUUGUCCCGAUUACCGUUGUCCGAGGUAAGUUUAUAAGCAAAUAGGUGUACUUAAUUUUAAUUAAAUGCAAAUUAUUUAUGCUGGAAUGAAAUAUAUUAAUUUAUAUAUGCAAUAUUCGAAUAUUGAUAAGCUUGGAAACUAUGUUUACGACUUCGUUUCGAUCGAGUUACGACAUCUGAAAGUCCCGCAUGAACCUUAGGAAUAGCUAGGAUACAUAUGUCAUGACAUAGGAUUCCGAUAUGUGAUGUGCGAGUAAGACCAUGACAUCGAUAUAUGUGUGCGAGUAAGACCACAUUUUAUACGUUGGCAUCGAUAUGUGACUCCGAUAUAUGUGUGCAAGUAAGAUCCUGUCUGGGACAGUGGCAUCAAUAUGUGGUUACAUGUACGACCAACGUCUGAGACGUUGGCAUUGUACUAUAUGUGUGAAUAUCCGAGUGUCCUAUCCAAUUUUGAAUGGUUCAACGGGCAAAGAUAAGUUGGGUAAGAAGGUAUAAAUCGGGCUAAGUGACCAGGUAUGUGAUAGUUGAUUACCUAUUUGAAAAUAAGGUAAGGUGAUUAUUUGAUAUGUGAUACAAACAUAUGUAUGAUGUUAGUUUGAAUUUGUGAGUAAUUGUGUAGUAUAUUCGACCAAAGUUAAACAUAUGAUGUUAGUUUGAUAAUUUUGACGUUUUUGAGAUCGUUGCUUCGAGUACUAAUAAACCCAUGCUUGAAUUUUUUAUUUUGGUGAAUAUUUUGAGUUAUGCCAGUUUUGAAAGCUUGUGAUUUUUUUUGUUUGAUGAUGAAAUAUGAAAGAUAUGUUUUGGGUUAACAUGUUUUAAAUUGGAAUUUUUGAUGAUUUUGAGUACUUAAUAUUUUAAAAAUUUUAUUAAAUUGAUGUUACACCAAUUUAAUUACAAAUUUUAUAUAAUUUUAAUUAUUUAUAAAAUUGAAUGGAAAUAGAAAGACGAAUAUCUUUUUCUCAAAUUUUGAAUUAAAAGAAAAUAAAUUCAAAGGAAAUAUGCUUUUUGACUUUUCCAACAUUAUCAAAAAUGUAAUUGCCCGAAGCUUUUUUGUUUCUUCUUUUUGGAAAGAUAAGUUGAUAUCUUUCAUCAGUUGCGUAUUUACAAAUAACAAUUGUCAACAGAUUUUCACUUUAAUAUUGAAUAGUCUACCCCCUCCCCCCCAACUUUUUGGACCAAAUUGAACAUCAAAUAUUUCUUGAGCAAAAUAAAUUGACAUUAAUUUAGAUCCCAGGCUCUUCCUCCACUUUAAACCAUGCUUACUGUUAUAUGCUUCAAUUCCUUCCUAUCUUCAAUUUUAUAGUGUCAUGUCCCAUUUGAACACCACCUUCCAAAAGCUUUUUCAGGCACUUUCACUUGUUUGUCUCCACUUCAAUAUAACAGGAGCCACCAGCAUCCACACUGCAACCACAUUCAUCUUACUCUUUUAAUCAUCACUAAAGCAUCCAAAACUCGAGCCAACAUCUACGUUACUCGACACAUAUUUGGAUACAAGUACAAGGCAUGGUAUUUAAAAUAUGCAAAGGAACUUUAAAAGAAGUUGAAUAUACUCGUAUAUGACACAUACUCAAAUCCGGACAAGUCUAGUUCUAGUUAAGUACUUACAGUAAACACAGACGGCUAGCCAUUCGUUCACUAUUCUCACCCAAGUACUGGUCCAACCAACAUCAAUUGUCCAUCUGCAAAAGUACAAUAGAGCACACAUCAUUUUUCAAUCGAUGCUUUAGUAUGUUGCCUGGAAUAUAUGUAUAUAUAUGUGCCCAUUUAUUCAUCUAUUUGCAGCUCUAGUGAACAUUUAUUCAAAAUUCAAUAUAAAUCAAACUACAAAUGCACGAGGAGACGUACCUUUUAAUAGUAUGAUGAGUAUUCCAGCCAAUCAAUAGCAUUGCGAAGUACAUAGCUCCAGUGGCAAAAACGAAAUGGAAGAAACCGUAACCAUAUGGUACUGCAUCUUCAGUACGGGCUUCCUUUUUACUGAACUGCAGCUGUUGUCAGAUAACAUUCUCAUGGAAAAAAAGACAAUAAAUCAACAGUUAUGAAUCCAGAAGAACAAACCUGAAAACAUUGAGAAUCGAUACCGGUAGAAAAAGUAGCAAUAACCAUAGCCAGUAAGGCAACGAUAAAGCUCUGAAAGAAUUAAGAGAGUUAUUAUCAUGCUCCUGGUAAACUUUACAAGAUAUUAUUAUUAGUCUUAUAUGUAGCAUAACUGGUCAAGCUGCAAAAGUUAGAUGAGUAGUCAUCAGUACUUCGGUCAAAAACCCUCGAUAGAUUUUGAAAGAGAGAAAUAUUACUAUGAUGGUGAGCCAAUCUGUCUUGUUUGAAGCCUCUGCCUUUCGGUUGCAACUUUCCCCUGCUGGUUCACUGCAAUCACAGAAUUGUAAUAAAGUUGAAAUUUGAUCAAAUAGAUAGGGAAAGAUGGCGAUCGUCUCAACCUUGAAAGGACUUUAAAGAGCAGUGUAUUCGAUUGUUGAAGUUAUGAACUUAUCUACUUUGACUUAGCAAUAGAUAGAUAGAAUACUGUUGAUCUCAUUAUUGUUAAUCUGUUAUAUUUUCAGUUUUCUUAAGAUGGUGACUGGAUACGAAGGGAUGGUCGGUUUUAGCGGUUGCAGUUUGUAACCGUGAAAUGUUAAUGAAUGCACUCUAAAACAUAUUAAUUUAAAUCUGAAAAGCUUAAAUUCGUACCUUCUAAUGGCACACCAACAGAUAAAUACCACAUAAAGCCCCAUGAGCCCUGGAGUUAAGAAGCCAGAAUUGAUCUGUUUCAGGGAAAAAAGAUAAUAAAAAAAAUCAUGAAUUCGAUUAAAAAAACGUGUUAUAGAAUUUAAGAAAUGAACGUGACACGAGUGACUGGAACAUACUUUUGGGUGGAGGGAAGCACUAGUCAUUAGUUGCAGAAGUACCAGCGUCCAUGUGAUGAAGAAAAUGUUAAGGAGGCAGGAUGGUUCUGGUGCAUACCAAAUGUACAUCAUGAUAAUCCCAAAUAUGCAUAUAAUAUAUGCAGCAGUAGCAAGUAACAUCACAUGGAUGUGGCUGCAGAAAAGAAGUAAAAUUUUUAGCAGCAUUAAAACCAAAAUACAUACCUAAGAGUAAAUAAUGAAAUGUCUUUAAUCACCAAAGACAAAGAGGGAUACACGACCAAAUUGUUUUGACUGUUAUGAAAAUGGUUUCAACUCUCUAAAAGCAUUGAAGAAAUGUAAGAUGAUUUUACCAAAUUUCCAAGAGUUUAUCAAACGGAUGAGGCUUACCAUCUUUCUGCAGUUUUCUCAGAUUGACAACAAUCAUUCAGCCAUGUAAUGAAACUGAUUACGCUUACGAGCUGAACUAGGAGAAAGACCCUGAAAACGACAAACAGAAAAUAAGAUCGAACGAAGUGUAACAUAGGAAACAUCUUCAACUUCCUCAACAGACUAUUCUAUUAAGAUUGUACAUGGUUUAUAUAGAGGAAUUUAUAACAGGAAUCUAUAAUACCCCAUACCCGGCACCAAAAUGCGCAAUCUCCCCUGCCAAUAACAGCAACACAAGGAAAAAGGAGGAAAAGAACACAACAUAUCAGAUCAUUGAUGUUGAUUAGAGCAAAAUGAAAGAUGGAGCUAAAGUACUAGGAUUGAUUAUUGAAAGAGGGUUGAAGAAAAGAACACGAACCAUAUAUUUGUACGAUGAAAGUAGGAACCAAAAAGGAGGUAACUGUCAAGGCAAUCCAGAGGCCAAUCUUUGCAGACCACCAUCCGGAAUGCCAUGAAUCUCUGCAAUUGUACAUCCUUGAGUUGCCAGCAGUUGAAAGAAACAUUACAAAAUAGAAAGCCUAUAAUUCAAUUAAGGAAUAAUCCAAUAGGCCCUUCGCUUCAGCAUUCUAGUAUUUGACAUUCUACAUCUAACUGUUGAGCUCUAAAUGCCACUAUUAUCAACAAAGGAAUAGUAUGUGUGUGUAUCUAUCUAUCAUUAUGACAUGAGGAUACAAAACAUCCCAAGCUCACACGUAGGACUCCUUCGGCGCCCAAACAGCCACGGCCACCUUGGCAAUUCUUCAGCUCUGCAAACCACAUUCCCACAUACAUGCUGAUUAACAUUAUCGACAUUAUUAUCAUAGAGCUCUAAACUUAAAAACAGAAAGUCAUGGAAUGCAUUUAUUGUAAAUACAAAAAGCAUUUAUUGUAUUUGUAAUCCAUUUAUCAUUUUAACAAACAACGUAGAUGCAAUGCAAAGAAGCAACUUACUUUCCAUUUCAGGGAAGGCAUUGUGGCCAUAAUCCCGAACAGCCCAGGCCAGCAAAUUUGAAACCAGGAAGAUCAAUGCAUAGGCAUAUCUAGCCAUCCAAGGAUUGGAACCAUUCCUGAACUGGCUAAACCAGGAAUCAUCCUUGAAAAUCCAAUGCCUCUCGUUGCGGUUACUUCCUAAACCACUCUCCAUUUUCACUUUCAAACCCACAAAAACUUUCCACUCUUCAUCACAUUACAGAUUCAUAUGUUUCCAAGAAAGCAGAAAGCAGAUGAUUCCAGUUCACUGGAAAAUCUUGUUACCUACAGUGAAACAACCCCCCCCCCCAAAAAAAAAAACAAUAAAUAACAGUAACAUUAAUAUAAUCAUUGUUUUUACUUGGUGGAUCCAUGAUUACCAGCACCUAAAUGUCAAAAAAGUGAAGAUUUCGAAAUUUGUGCUUACGAAAACUGGAUUUCGGCUUUUGAUGAUUUGGGUUUAUAUUUUAUAAUAAAGCCUAAAAUUGAUGCAAACAGGAUUAUAAUAAAUAAUAAAAAAAGAUUAAGCUAUUAAUUUAACUAACUAACUGAUCACGAAGAAAAGCCAUUUCUCAUCUGAAACAACAAACUUUCUCUUACAAGUACAACAAAUAAGAAGCUCAAUUAUUGCGUGCAAUGCACGGCAAGUUUCUAACCUUUUUUUUCUUCAAUCAGAAUUUGAUUAAAACCCAUUGGAUCAAAUUAUUUUUGGCAGUGAUUUGAGUUCAUGCAACAAUGAGGACAAGCAUCACAAGAACAGUAAAGAAUCACUUUUUUUCUUUUUAAUUUGCUGAAAAUGAACAAAAACAAUUUUUUUUAUUUCUUUUCUGCAUGAAAAAGCGUGCAAGGAUUAACAGAUGAGUAAAGGAAUCUUUGAAUUUCUUUCUUCUAUUGUAAGCAGCCCUUUUUCAAACAAAACUGCAGUAAGAAACAGAAAGAAAAAACAGUGUUUUGACCCUUUGAGACUAUUCUAAACUUCCUAAUCAAGUGAUUUGAUUUGAACAGUUUAAAACAGGGAUAUAAUGAUAUCAACAUGUAAUCUUCUAUUUAACAACACUCAAUUUAUGUUUUUGUGUAUUGAUCGUUUUGUUUUGUUUUCCAGUUCAAGUACAAAAACAACUACUAUGAUUUUCUGCCAAGGCUGCUCAAAGUUUAACAUAUUAAGUGAAAAUAAAUGAAAAUUAUUGUUAUGAAAUGAAGGAACUCAAUUUUCUUUCAGAAUCUGAAACAUUGUCCCAUUUGCAUGUGUUUUGAAAUCGUUUUAUUUUUCAUCAAACACCAACCUAGCAUUAAAACAUAAGAAUCAUAAACUACAGAGCAAUGCAAUCUUUGAAGAAAUGAAUGUAUACCUCAAAAACGAUUCAGCACAAAGCAUUAAGAUCCAAAAUGGAAUCGUUGCAGCAAAAACAAAGCAGGCCUCUCUUCCUCUCUCUGUUUCCCGGAAACAAAAGAAACAGAGGAAGAAGAAGCAAACGCAAACAGAGAGAUAUUUUGUGAUUUCUUUUUUUUUUUUCCCCUUUUUUUGGCUCUUUUAAAAUGGUGUGUUCUUCAGGGAACUAUAAAGAAAGAGAGAGAGGGGGAGGAUUGCUUUACCAGUUUUUGCUUCCUUUUUCCUUUUUAUUUUUUCUUUUUCCCGCCGUAAGCUUUAUGUAAACGAAAUUAAAAUUUAUUAUAUAUUUUCAAAAUAUACUAAAUUAUGCUACGCCGAAAAAAAUUAGGGACAAUAUAUUUAUAAAAAAUAAUAUGAAAUUUUAAUUUAAUUUUGGUUAAAAUUUAAAAUAACAAAAUUACUAUUUUAAAAUGUGUAGUUUCUGUUCAAAUUACCUAGUUAUUUUUUUUGAAAUUAUUUAGAAUUUAAAUUUAUUUUUAUAAUUUUUUAUAAAAUAUAAAAAUACAUAUGUAAAUUUAUUUUUAAAAAAAGGAAUAUGUAAAUUCAUUAAUUAGUACAUCAUGAUGCCACUGACCACCUCAACUUAUUCCAUACCUUUAUUUCACAUAUUACUUUUUUUUUUAAAUUUAAUUUUUUAACUUAUUAAAAAGUUGUGAGAACUAUGAAAAUGUCUAUUUAUUUUGUUUAAUUAACUAUUCCGUAUUCACAUGUUUUAUUACAUCAUAAAUAUGGUUAGAGAGCAUUUUAUAUUAAAUAAACUAGCUUGUAAAGUCACUCAUUUUAUUUACCCAAAAAAAUAUAAUUUAUAUUAUAUUAACUAAAUCAUCAAAUCUUCAUUUAUAUUAUAAUUUUUUAAAUUUUAGUGUAUAAUAUAAUAAUGACAAAGGCUGUGUUUCUUUCGGCCUGAGAUCUAAUGCUUAAGAAGCACUCAUGAGCAGAGAAAGCGGGGGCAGAUGGCAAAAGAAAAUUGAUUAAUGUUUUCACUCCAAAGGCACAAAAGAUUUUGCAUGCACGCUUAAGAUAAAAUGAUGCUGUAGGGGAUUAUCGUGCAAAAAAUGCCAUCUCAUUUCUCUUUGUUUGGUUGUCGAGAAAAAGAAGCAAAACUUGGGUGAGAAAAAAACUGUUAACCUUCUUUGUUCUUUAAGAACAAGGCAUUUUGUUGGUUCAAGUAAAUCUUUGUUUUUAUUUUCGUGUUUUUGUCUGUUUGCUUAAUUGUACACCAAAUGGAAGAAAAACUAUAUAAAUUUGGCACACCCCUUAACCUAGAAUUUUGUGCCCAUUUUUAUUGCACAUAUUUUAAACAAAAAAAGGAAAUCUUUAAAUCUAAUUAAUUUACAAAAAUCUAUAAAACUUAUUGCUUUGGUGAGAAAAAGGGUAAUUCAAAGGGAUUAGUUUAUUUCGAGUAAAGAAAUUAGGUGGAUUUUAUUGGUUAUAAACCUCGACUAAAUUUUAUAUAUUUUAUAUUUUAUUUUAUUCAAUUAAAAUGAUUUAUUAAUUUUAGAGAAGCAUUGAAUAAGAAUGACCAACUUUCAAUAUAUUUUUAUAUAUAUAUAAAAUAUUUAUCAGCUUUUAGAGAAGCAUGUCUUGUAACUUUUAUGAUAAUUUUUUCGGACACCCACCGCAAGUAAUGAUUGAACCUAUUGUCAAUCAAAAUUUUUUUUUAAUUAAUGAAUGUGUUUCUAGAUUUUAUUAUAACGAAUGUUUUGAGACACGAUUUAAGAUAAAAAAAAAUAACUAUUUAAUGAUGUCAAUGUGUCAAAUCUAAAUACUAUCUAUAAUUAUCGUAAAGAGAAAAAUAUUAAUGAACGUAUAAAGAGAAUUUUCUCGUGAUUAAUAAUAAUUUUCUCAUUAAAAGAAAAAAAAAACAAGCUAAAGAAAAGAGAAGGUAUCAAUAAAUAUUUUCAUUGUACUGUUUCUCUAUGUAAGAAUUCAUAAUUAGGUGUACAUGAACAUAAUAAUCAAAGAUAAGAGAAUUAAUAAGAUUUAUGAAGGUAACUACUUCUUCACCAACUUGUUUAAAUGGCAAUUAUUAGAUUUUUUUUCACAAAUUUGCACGUUGGGUUAUGUAUAAAUAUCCUAAUUGGACAAUUAUAGGGUUUCUCACUUAAAUUAAUUGAUUAUUUAUAGAGUAAUUAUUUGUCCACUCGUUAGUGAAGUAAAAAAAGUCCCAUAAAUAAGUUUAAAAUGAUGUAAGUGUCCUUUUAAUUAUUUAAUUAUUGAUUCAUUAUACUCUAAAAAGUAAAUGACAUCGAUUAAAAUCCGUUUGUGGAGUUUUUUUCCUCGAUCCACUACUAGUAGUAAUUUAUAUACUAAUAUAUUAAAAGUUAUUUUGCAUUUAGAAUAUAACUGAAAUUAUUCUAAAAAAAUAAUUGAAUUUAAUAAAAUACAACUACCUCUCUAUGAAAGUAUUAAAAAAUGUUAGAAUAUACUCUUCAUACAUUUUAAAUUUAGUCUCUUUAUUUUUAUUUUUAGGAAUUUAAUCAUUUUAGUUUUUACAUUUUAUAUUUUAAAUCAAUUUGUUAACACAGUAAAGUUUAACUAUUAAAGUAGCUACAGUAACAUUUUAAAAUUAAAAAAAAAAAUCCACUGAAUCUCAAUCUUAUAAAAAAAAUUAACUAUAUUAACAAUAAAAUUUACAUUUUUAUAUUUAAAAAUAAAAAAUUAAAUAUACAAAAAGCAGAAGCACAUGAAGUAGGUUAAGAUGGUUUUUUUUUUUAACCUAUAUAUUGGAAAACUAACAAAAAUAAGUUGGGUAUUAUCAUACGUAUACUAAGACCCUUAUAUUAACUACAUGAUGCUACUUAUUGAAUAGCAUUCAAUUUAUAAACUCAACUAAUUUUAAAGUCCAACCCACCUUUUUAGUGCAUGUAGAUAUUUGUAUCGUACAAAUCUUUUAUGAAUUAGGGAUUUGUACAAAUUAAUGGAAUCCUUUCUUCCUGCAAUAAAAUACACGAUUUGGGGGGGUGUUAGUUUCGAAGGCUAUUAAUGAUAUUUUCAAGGACCGAAUUUAUAUAUUAAAUAAAUAUAAUUUAGAUUUUUAAUAAAAGAAAGAAAAAAGUAGCAAUAGUCCAAUAUGCAAUAAUAAAGCAAAUUAAAAAAAAGAUUAAAUAGUUUUCAUGGAUCCUUCAUGAUACGGCAAUAUGAAAGAUUCUUCGAAUAGGGUUCUUUUUUUAUAAAACUUUUUUAUUUCAGUUUCAAAGAGUAUCUUCCUUAUUAAAUUUGCACUCACAUGAAGUUCAUUUUUGGACCAUACAAAAUUGAACCGUCCCUAUAACACCUAACAGAAUGUAAAAGAACAUUCUUUUUCCUUUUUUUAAAAAAGAAAAAGAAAAAAAUAUUAUGGAUUUAGACGAAGCUGGCUUAUAUGCGAAAAGUGCAACGAGACAAAACAAUUAAUGUUGUCCAUAACAUUCACUUUGUCAACUCUUAUGUUUUGUACGCAAGUAUUAAUGAAUGUCGUAGAAAAAUGCUUGGCUAUUUUCUUUUUAUCGGAUCAGCUGCUUUUAAGUAUUCGAGGCUUGUCCUGUUCUUUUAUGUUUUGAUUUAGAUUUCAUUUGUUGUAGAGAUUUUUUAUUUUUUAUUUACAUAACUUAGGGUAAAGUUAUACUUAUUAUUAAUUUUGAAAUUUGAUAUUUUCUGAAUUUAAUUAUCGAAUUAUUGUUUGUUAAUCCGGUAUUAUUGGUUAUUUGAAUCAACUGGAUCCAAAACUGGUUGAGGUAUAAGUUUGGAACAAGGGGUUUGGUUCAGUUGACCUAUGAAUGUAUCAUCCAAUCAGUUGGACUAAUUUGAAUCAAUUCUCUUAAAAUUUAAAUUUUUUCAAUAAUUUAUUCAAUUGAAUGGGACAGCAUAGUCGAACCAAAAAUUGAUGAUCCGAGUCUGAUCACUUUUUAACCACCAAUUUAAUUCUAAAACCUUGCCUUAAACUUGAAUUUAAUUAAAGAAUGAUAGUAUGACACUCUGAAAUUGUGUCAUGUCAUUACCACCUAAAAUUUAAAAAAUAUAUAUAUUUUUACUAAAAUUAAAAAUAAAAAUUUUAAAUGAUAAUAUGAUACAAUCUCAAAAUAGCAUGUAAAAGAAUUAAAAUUCAACUACCAAAUUAAAUAAUAAUAAUUUUAAUAAUAGCAUGGACAAAAAGAAAUUAAAAGAGCAAUAUGAAAAUUAAUUAAGAUUCUGUCAAAAACAAAGCCAAAUUUUAUGUGGUGAUGAUGGUCGAGAAUAGAGAUAGAGAUAAAAGAGAAUAAAAAAGAUAAGAUUUAAUAUUUUGAAAUAUUUCAAUUCACAAAAGCAUCGAAUAAUUUCAUAAAUUUUUGCAUUUAUAUGUUUUCUUUUUUCCAGUAUUUUUUAUUUAAAUUUCAUUUGUUUAAAUAUAAAUUUCGAAUUGUCAAUUAAUAAAAUCACUUAAACCCCCCAAAAAAUGAGAAGUAAAGUAAAACAAAUUAAUAGAAAGGAAGAAAGAGGGUUUAAAUGUUACUAAAAUAACGUCAAUCAAGGAGGCGUUGCAGCUUAAAAUUGAAGGCUAAUAACACUUUUUUUUUUUUCUUUCUUAUUCAUGAAAUCUGUAAUUAUUGCUCAUAAUUAGUGUGUUUUUCAUAUAUAGAGAGAGAGAGAACCAAAUGAUAGAUGUACAAAGAAAGCAGGGAUCGAAGAGCAUGGAAUUCCCGAGACUGAAAUCAUAAUUUAAUCCAGCGUGUUGGAUCUCAUCAAAAUUUUCAGUUUGGGAUAGAGGAAAUAAUUAUAAAUAUUGAUAUUCAAAUUUUAUAUUUGUUAAAUAUUAAAUUUUUUAAGAAGUUAAUUGUUAAUUUACUUUUUGGGCCUCAGAUAAUAAUUUUUUACGAUAAACUUUUGAAAUAAAAUUAUAAAUUAUUUUAAAACUAAAGCCAAUUUUAUAUUAAUGAAAGAGAUAAAAUGCAAUUUCUUUUUUUAUUUUAAUUAAAAGAUCAAAAGUCAUGCAUGUUCUCCUGUCCGAGUAGCCUGGUUUUGCUUUUGACUGAAUAAAAGAAGCUUUAAAACCUGAACCUUUUCAUUAAAAUUGGGCUGAAUAGUUGAGCUCAACUCCUAAAUAAGUUUUUGGGCCCAAAUCAGAACAUUUUGUAUGUCCAAGUGGAUAUCUUAGGCUUUUAUGAUCUAUGCCCAUUAAUAAAUAAAAAAUUCAAUACAAUUUUUUUCUAUUGCCCAUGACCCUCAAAUUAGAAUUAAGCUGGUUAUUACAAUUUACAAUAAUGCCAGUUGAUCUAAACCCCAAUUAAUAUGAAAUUCUUUUAAAGUAAUAAAUAUCAAUGGAAUAUUAUUUAGUACAUUGUGAUUGAAGUUUUGGAUUUCAUAAACAGGGUCAAGCGGUUAACAAGUAUCUUAUAAGAGAAUUGUUUAAAAAAAAUACAUAACAAUAUUUUUCAGAUUACUUGUGGAAUAAAAAAUACAUUAUUAAUGUAUCAAAUAUUAAUAUGAUGAUAUAUUUACUUUUUAAAUAUUAUAUAAAAUUUAUUCUCAAAUUAAUUGAUUAAUAUACAUUUUGAAAGGAAUAAUAUACAAGGGAGGAUGUAUGGGCUGGGCCCCGGACACUCUUAAAAUGAAAAUUUUUUAAUUUAUGUUCUUUAUAAUUUAUAAAAUUUUAAAUUAGUAAAGAUAAUAUUGUAUUUUGACCGUCUCAAAAAUAAUAAAGAAUUGAUUUAAUUUUUUAAAAUUUAUAAAGAUAUAAACUAUUAACAUAAAAGAAUUUAUAUUUUUACCCUAAUAAAAAUAUAUAAUUUAAUUAUUAACGAAAUUCGAAUGAUUUGACUUUACUCCUCCAAAAUUCACUUAAAAUACGAAUUAGCGCAUUAUAUAUAGGAUUGUAUUCCAUUAUCGACAUUUAAUGGCAGAGAAGACACUGCGUAGUUAUUACCACCUAACGCUCAGUGAUGGAAAUUAUUGACAAUGGUUUCAUUCAUCAAUGGCUACCUAACACCCAAAGCUAAAUGUCCUCACCAUUAACAUGAAUGUGUUAUAAUAAUUCAUAUGCCACGUAAAUGUACAAAUGACAAUCAAAUUAUAUGAUUAAGGUUGCAUUAAAAAGGCAGCAACCCAAUCCAAUCAAUAAUCACAUCAAUUUAAUACUAAAAAAACCAUUGCGUGUGAAAUCCCCACAUGAAAGAGGUUGAGGUCACAAUAAUCAACUAAUAUUCUAGAUUCUCACAGGGAUAUAAAUCCUCUUUAAUUAUCUGCAUUUCUUAAGUGGCAUCUAGUUAUGUAUUGGUUUGUUUCUAACAAAACUUACCAUUGGGGGGGUUGGUUAUUUUUUUCAUAAGCAAAUAACAUUGACUUCUAUAAUCUUUUGUCAUUAAUAUAUGUGAGCUAAUAACAGCCUGUCCUCCCCCCAAUUAAAUGAUAAUUAGUGUCCAAUUUUUUUUGAGAAUUAAUAUUUUGGAGGCAUUCAAGUUUUACAUUAGCUUUCUGUUGUGCCCCAUGUGACUAUCAACUUUAAUAGGACCCAGUUAUUACUAUUAUUGGUUGGAUAUACUUGCAUCCUUAUCAUUCAAUGCCAAUUACCUUUGUUGCCUUACCUUUUAAAUUUCUAUAAUUUAAGCUUAAAAAUUGGCUGCCUCAAGAAAUUUUGAAUGCCAAUUACAUUCAUAUAAAUGUUCAAGCAUUUAAUUUUGUAUAUUUUUUUUCAUUUCACGUUGUGUUUUAAUUAUUUUUUUGUCUUUGUGUCAAUAUGUGGAAGAUUAAGCUGGUUUUAUUAUUUUAGUAUAGUCAUGUUAUGAUGUACUUAAUCAUGCUAUUAUCCAACAGCCGGCUCUUCUUUGUUGAAAUAUUCCAUUCCCUCUUUUUUUAAUUUUAUUCCAGUAGCAGGUACAAAAUUUCCCCUUCAUUUUAGAGGGAACUAUAACCCCUAAGUCUCCAUUAUGCUCCGGUAUUAUGAUUUAAAUCAUUCCAUGUGUGUAUCAUCUCACUUCUUAUUUCAGUUUGGAUUAACUGCUUGUAAGGUAUAAUUUAGUCUAAUAUAAUAUACAGAUGCGAGGUCAAACAGCAGUAGUGAAAGGUUGAAAAAGUGGGCAUCUUUCUUUAUUAAAUGGGGUUUGUUUUAGCGGUUGAAAUUUGAAAACAAAAAAGCCAAAAUUCCGACUUAGAGCGGCGUAGAGUUGUGUUUGUGUUGGUUUUAAUUAGACUAAUACAGGGCCAACACCACCCUCUCUUUAUCUUAAAAAGGGUGACAAAAGAAAAUAAACAGUUACGGUGAUUCAUAUAUAUCACAUGCUCCCAAGUCUUGUCAGUGCCAGACAGCAGUUUAGCAAUGUUGUUUUUUUCUUCCAAAGAAAAAGACUUGAUAAGAAUGGAAACAAAACGCUUUCUUUUUGCUGCCCAAACAUGCAGAAAGGGACUUUGGCAAUGUAACUGGUGUUUGUGCUAAUGUUGGGCUUGACAAAAUGGCAAUGAUGGCCAUGGUUGAAGCAAACUGGUUGGAAAAAAUGCGUUUGACAAUUAUUUUGAUUGGUAUAUCAUUGAACUUCAUGGUGCUCGCAUUCCAUGGGGACUCAGCUCAACCAUACAACAAUGGGGUCUAAGGAAGAUAAGGCAAUACAUAGUGGGGAUGGUUGAAAAUGUUUUUUCUAGUAAAAUCCAGAGAAGAACAAGAUGGACUAACAGUCAACACAGCACCAGGCACCAAUCAUGGCAUAUCGGGAGUGUUGAACAAUUUCAAUUUUUUCCAUGUUCCGAUGGGUUGUUAAAAAGAGAAAGUGUGAGCGUGAAGAAAUCUGGUUUUGAAACUCCAAAUUUCAAAUCAAACCCACCAUUAGGGGGGUGCACAUGGGACUAAAUCCCAACAAAUAUUAAUCAAAUCAUAAAAAAGUUGAUCACGGAUUGAAUCCCACCACCCAAAUUAAAGUAGAGUAGGUGGGGGCAACUUCAAUGGCUAGGCCCCAUUUCAGUCCUACGAAAGAUCUUAGUUACCACCUGCCGCCUCCCAUGAAAUUUCCCAAUAUUUUUACCAGGAUUGCUGUAUCUACUUAUGAUAAUGCUAAAAUGCUGGAAAUUAUGAAGUGUUUCCAAGAAACAGGAAAGGGUUUCUUCAAAAUUAAGAUUCUUAUCUUAAACUCAGAAUCCACUAACAAACAUGUUAAGUAAGAUGCCAUCGAGGGGAAAUGAUAAACCAAAACAAUCAAAUACAAUGAAGAAUAAAUGGUGAACAUAAAGGAAUGACUGAAUUCUGGAAAAUAAUCAAAUACAAGUUCAUCGAAUUAUACCCCCCAAAAAAAAAACAAAAGUAUGAUAGUAAAACAGAAAAAGAAAAUAGAAGAGAAUAAUAACAAUAAAAAGCCACAAACUAGCAGCAGUAGCAGCGGCGCCGGCGGCUGCCAUUGUAAGCCUGGAAAAUUAUGGUUCUGAAAUUUUCAUCUCUAUACAUACAACAUUCUCUGCAACCUAAUCUCUUUGUCCAUGCCAUUUUUAUUUCACAACUCCAAAUACCCAUAACAAUUUUCUACUAAAUAUAGAAUUCUCCUCUUUCAAACUCUCUCUCUCUUCUUUCCACCAUCUUCAAUAACAUUCAUUGAAGCGGUCAAACCUAUGGUAGACUUUUUUUUUUUGGUUAGAAUCUCUUCAAUGAGCGAUGAGAAUUGCUCCCCAAGAAGAAAGAAGAGUUUUUUUU
rnacentral:lncRNA from 1 species